rnacentral:rRNA from 1 species
UAGGGAAUCUUCGGCAAUGGGGGGAACCCUGACCGAGCAACGCCGCGUGAGUGAAGAAGGUUUUCGGAUCGUAAAGCUCUGUUGUUAAGGAAGAACGAGUGUGAGAAUGGAAAGUUCAUGCUGUGACGGUACUUAACCAGAAAGGGACGGCUAACUACGUGCCAGCAGCCGCGGUAAUACGUAGGUCCCGAGCGUUGUCCGGAUUUAUUGGGCGUAAAGCGAGCGCAGGCGGUUAGAUAAGUCUGAAGUUAAAGGCAGUGGCUCAACCAUUGUAGGCUUUGGAAACUGUUUAACUUGAGCGCAGAAGGGGAGAGUGGAAUUCCAUGUGUAGCGGUGAAAUGCGUAGAUAUAUGGAGGAACACCGGUGGCGAAAGCGGCUCUCUGGUCUGUAACUGACGCUGAGGCUCGAAAGCGUGGGGAGCGAACAGG